CCUAGGUGUUGGAGCUUAUGCCUGGACUGCAAAGAUGGGGCCACGCCUGCCCAGCCUUUUCCCUGGAGCUCAACCUCUACCGACUGUUCCUGUCAGACUGCAUUAUGGGAAGCAGCAGAUGGCAGCUAAAAUGUGAAAUGAAGGACAAGGUCUUCGAAGGACAAGCCAAAAUGCAGGGUGACCUGCUUAAGGACUCUUAAUGGAAUUCUGUGCAUUAUUUUGAAACAAUGCACACUUUCUAAGAGCUUUCUAUCUAAGAACAACUAUUGUGAGUUGUGUAAACAUCCAGUUGUGAUUUGAUAUUGUUUGAUAUUGUGUGUUGUUAGUAAUGUGUCUUUAAGAAUCGCCCCAGUCUUUGGAAAGAAUGAUCAAAAUGUGAUAUAAAACAGAUAUUCAUCGUGUAGCAUUAAAUUUCAAAACAGAAUCAAUUAUUUGUUAGUAAAUUAAUCAAUGCUCAUCCUGAAAUGCAGUAUGAAAAGACAAAUCUAAUGAAAGUAAAGUAUAUUUUUUUUAAAUAUACUUUUGUUAAAUGUUAGCUGUAUUUUAAAAUAAUCAAAAUGCCCAACACACUCAUAUAUAAUUGUAGAAGAGUGAAAUGUUUUAACAUGAAGAAUAAUCAUAAUAUUGUCUCGGUCGGUAUGCAGGGGAUUUUAUAACUUGAAUGUCCACUUUGUAUUCUGUAUAAAUUCUCAUAGGUGAUGUAUGGACUGUUUAGAUGUCAGUUAAACAUACAUGUUCACAAUAAGAGACAAACUUGUUAAAGCUAAAAAUCCAAAAUAUACAGGAUUUUUUUUUAAUCUGGUGGUGCGGCGAUGUCUAAGAGCCAUAGUCUUUUUAAGGUCUUUAGCCUAAUGCAAAUUAAAGUGAGGGUUAUGAUUGUGAUGUUUGACAAGUAUAGAGAGAUCUUUUUUAUAACAUCUGUGCCAUCAAAUUUGUGUAACAUUACUGGUAUUAAUUAUUAAGGGUUGGGGAUAUUUUGGAUGUCGUUCAUUUUACAACUGAUUUUUUUAUUUUACAAUACUGUCCCAAUAAUACUUUACACUGCUAGUGUAUUAGUGUAAAAUGUACAGUAAUUGCCAAACUGGGAAAAAAUUGCCUUUGUAUGUUUUUACACUGCAGUUAUUGUGCCGUUUAAAAACACAUCAAUGUAGUCACACAACCUGUGUAGUUAUGAUUUCUAAUAUUACAGAGGCAGUCGUUGAUUUUGCGAUACUCUUUAUGUACAGCAGUGGUCUCCAACAUGUGUCUGUGAGUUGCCCGCCAAAUAUUUUUUAUAUAAGCUUGGCUCCUUUUAUUUGUUAACAUUUUAAACAAUGAUAAAACAUAUUAACAAGUACAAUAAAGGAAAAUCAAAAACGUUUUGUGUAGACUAUUUCAAAAACUUAGCCCUCAAAAAUGUUUUAUUCAUUGUGGUAGCCCUUGCUCACAAAAAGGUUGGAGACCCCUGAUGUACAGUACACACAAACAUUAAAUCCAUGUGGUAGUUGCCAGUCUUCAGAAAAUCCCAUAUAACCUGCUGUACCUCAGAACUCAAUAAAUUGCGUGCUAUCUGUUCACCACCAGGUGGAGACACUAUUCACACGUGGACCUUGUAAGGGUACACGCCUUUGUUGUCAAAAUGAAUCAAUAACGGGUGGUGAUAUCCAGUGUUUCUCUGCAAUAAAAGUGUAAUGAUGUGCAUAUACCCCAUAAA